rnacentral:rRNA from 1 species
GGGCCCGCACAAGCGGUGGAGUAUGUGGUUUAAUUCGAUGCAACGCGAAGAACCUUACCAGGGUUUGACAUCCUGCGAAUCUCUUGGAAACUUGAGAGUGCCUUCGGGAGCGCAGUGACAGGUGGUGCAUGGCUGUCGUCAGCUCGUGUCGUGAGAUGUUGGGUUAAGUCCCGCAACGAGCGCAACCCACGUCUUUAGUUGCCAGCGAGUAAUGUCGGGAACUCUAGCAAGACUGCCAGUGCAAACUGUGAGGAAGGUGGGGAUGACGUCAAAUCAUCACGGCCCUUACGUCCUGGCUACACACGUGCUACAAUGGUAGGUACAGAGAGCAGCCAAUGCGCGAGCAUGAG